rnacentral:misc_RNA from 1 species
UUUCCGUAGGUGAACCUGCGGAAGGAUCAUUACAACAAGGCCAUGGGCCCCCCGAUGCUUCGGCGGAAAGGGGGUACCGGCCUGACUUAUAUACCCACCCUUUGCCUAUGUGUACCUCUAUCGCUUCCUCGGCAGGCUCGCCUGCCGCUAGGAACCAACCAAACCCUUUGCAUUAUACAUGAAAUCAGAUACCAAAACAAAAUUAUUACAACUUUUAACAAUGGAUCUCUUGGUUCUGGCAUCGAUGAAGAACGCAGC